rnacentral:rRNA from 1 species
UAGGGAAUCUUCGGCAAUGGACGAAAGUCUGACCGAGCAACGCCGCGUGAGUGAAGAAGGUUUUCGGAUCGUAAAACUCUGUUGUUAGAGAAGAACAAGGACGUUAGUAACUGAACGUCCCCUGACGGUAUCUAACCAGAAAGCCACGGCUAACUACGUGCCAGCAGCCGCGGUAAUACGGAGGGUGCAAGCGUUAAUCGGAAUUACUGGGCGUAAAGCGCACGCAGGCGGUUUGUUAAGUCAGAUGUGAAAUCCCCGGGCUCAACCUGGGAACUGCAUCUGAUACUGGCAAGCUUGAGUCUCGUAGAGGGGGGUAGAAUUCCAGGUGUAGCGGUGAAAUGCGUAGAGAUCUGGAGGAAUACCGGUGGCGAAGGCGGCCCCCUGGACGAAGACUGACGCUCAGGUGCGAAAGCGUGGGGAGCAAACAGG